rnacentral:rRNA from 1 species
CAGUAGCCGCGGGAAAACGUAGGUGGCAAGCGUUGUCCGGAAUUAUUGGGCGUAAAGGGCUCGCAGGCGGUUUCUUAAGUCUGAUGUGAAAGCCCCCGGCUCAACCGGGGAGGGUCAUUGGAAACUGGGAAACUUGAGUUCAGAAGAGGAGAGUGGAAUUCCACGUGUAGCGGUGAAAUGCGUAGAGAUGUGGAGGAACGCCAGUGGCGAAGGCGACUCUCUGGUCUGUAACUGACGCUGAGGAGCGAAAGCGUGGGGAGUGAACAGGAUUAGAUACCCCCGUAGUCCCUGUCUCUUAUAC